ACCCCAUGUAGUAGGAUAAAGGCUUGAUGUUAUUGUUGUUGUUGUAUUGUGUUGCUAGUUUUUAUUUUUAUUUAUUUAUUUUUAUUAUUUUUGUUUGAAACAGGCUUUCAGAUUCUUCGAUUAUAACAAAGUUGGGUACAUCAAGAUGGAUGAUUUGAGAUGCUUACUUCAUGACCUUGGCAAGUUUCUUUCUCACCGAGACGUCAAGGAGUUGGUACAGAGUGCCCUGUAUGAAAGCAGUUCUGCUAGAGAUGACCGGAUUUUCUAUAAGAAGCUUGUGAGGAUUAGGGAUCUAUGAACCGUGUAAGGAUUAGUUCUACAAAAGAAGUCUCUUGUUAUUAGAUAUUCUCACAUCUUUGCAUAUUUUCUCUUCAGAAUUUACUACAUAAUGAUAAUGUUUUGGCACAUAGAAGUCUACAAUCUGCCAUAAAAACUGCUUGAAACACAUUUUAGGGCUAAACAUUUAUUUCAUUCUUAUUAUUAUGAUGUGUUCAAACGCAUGAUUCAUCUAUGCAAUUACUGCUUUAUUUGCCUAA